GGGGAAUAUUGGGCAAUGGGCGCAAGCCUGACCCAGCAACGCCGCGUGAAGGAAGAAGGCUUUCGGGUUGUAAACUUCUUUUGUCAGGGAAGAGUAGAAGACUGUACCUGGCGAAUAAGCCACGGCUAACUACGUGCCAGCAGCCGCGGUAAUACGUAGGUGGCAAGCGUUGUCCGGAUUUACUGGGUGUAAAGGGCGUGUAGCCGGGAAGGCAAGUCAGAUGUGAAAUCUGGAGGCUCAACCUCCAAACUGCAUUUGAAACUGUUUUUCUUGAGUAUCGGAGAGGCAAUCGGAAUUCCUAGUGUAGCGGUGAAAUGCGUAGAUAUUAGGAGGAACACCAGUGGCGAAGGCGGAUUGCUGGACGACAACUGACGGUGAGGCGCGAAAGCGUGGGGAGCAAAC
rnacentral:rRNA from 1 species